AGGCUGUCUAAAGGAAUUUUGAGAGGAGAACACAUCAGAGGGGGUUGCUGUUCACCCAAGAGCUGACACAGGAGCAGCUGCUGCUUUCUUAUAAGUCAAGUUGAUUCCGGGAAUUGGCUUUCUCCCCCAAACAUCCUUUACGAUCCAGCUGGGAUGUUCCACUUUUGGAGCCUAAGCCAGGCAAGCUUUUGGAAGACUUGAUUGGGAGGACCACGGGGUGGUCCAGUGACCAAGCUAACAGUCCAGUGAGGUCUCCUCGCCUUGCAGAUAGGUAUCUGUGGAGAACGUUGAAGCCG
rnacentral:lncRNA from 1 species